CAUAGACAGAAAGUCUGAGAAACAGAUAGAUAAAGAGACAGGGACAGAGAUAGAAACAAAGAAUGUCAGAGAAAAACUGAAGACAGAGACACGGAAAGAGUCAUAGGACACUGGUUCUUUUUUCCCCACACUCAAGCUUGGAUAUUCGCCUUCCCAUCCCACAGCAGAUAAAAGAAGCAGAUCAGAAGUGGGAAGAGGGAUCUCUUCAUUGGAGAUGGAGGUCCACGCGGAUACAUUUGUAUGCAACCUUGAAGAGUUGGGGUAGUUAUUGGCUCUGGAACUGUCCACAGUGCUGAAUAGUAUUAAAGUGGUCUUUCUAACUAUGUAUACCAGAGAGAGAAGAAAACAGGUGAAGGAAGGGCACACUAGGGAGAGUAAUAUUCAUAUGAGUCCAAUGUUUAUCCAUUUCACAAACAUGCACAAAUACCCCCCAUCAAGUAAAGCUGAGGUAGCGCUGAAUAGUGAUGGUGUGGUGAAAAGAAUACUUAUUUGAUGUGGUCAGAAGACUUGGGGUUUCAGCUUCAACACUUAUUAGCUAUGUGACCAUAGGAAAAUUGUUUCACCCCUCUAAGUCCAAGUGUCUCCAUCAAUAAAAUGGGAGGAGGGGCAAUAAUACUAACACCACCUAUGUCACAGAGCUUUUGUGGGGAAAACACUUUCUAAUUCAAGGCUCAGCUCAUGUGCCACAUUCCACACAAUGCCCUCAAAUGCUGGUACUUUCCCAAUAAGAAAUUUCUUUAUGGUUUCUCUUUCUCUCUGUUAUAUUACAUAUUUAAAUAUGUACAUGGUGUCUC